GUUAACAGUGUAUUAUAUUUUCAUAGGUAUCCAAAUUAUGAAUUUAUCAGUGAUAACUCCAUAUCUUGGUCAGCCGGACUUCAUAAUCGAUACACUGAAAACUCCCUAAGAGGUGUUAUUCUGGAUAUCCACUUUUUGUCUCAGGCAGACUUCCUGGUCUGUACAUUUUCAUCCCAGGUUUGUCGAGUUGCCUAUGAAAUUAUGCAGACAUUGCAUCCAGAUGCUUCAGCGUAUUUCCAUUCUUUGGAUGAUAUCUACUACUUUGGGGGACAGAAUGCACAUAACCAGAUUGCUGUUUAUGCUCAUCAUCCACGAACUGCUGAUGAAAUUCCUAUGGAACCUGGAGAUAUAAUUGGAGUAGCUGGAAAUCACUGGGAUGGUUAUUCAAAAGGAAUCAAUAGGAAAUUAGGAAAAACAGGCCUGUACCCGUCCUAUAAAGUUAAGGAGAAAAUUGAGACAGUCAAAUACCCUACAUACCCAGAGGCUGAAAAGUAGAAUAACAGGAAGACAUAUGGCAGUAAUUCUCACUUCUUUGACUCAAAUCAGUCAACAUACUAAUGGUUUAUAUGGGAUUUGAAUUUGCAUUUUAACAUGCAUUUAAAAUCAAAGCCUUUGGUAAUGAAACUGGAAAAGAAACUGAGAACAAAUGGAUGGGCUGUUAUCUGAACUCACUCCUAAACAUUUUUUGUUAUAUGCACUAUCACACAUGCACACUCACAAACGCAUACAGCAGGAAAACUGUUGUUUUAUACUUUUUGUCUCUUCAAGAUUUGUCCCAGUCAGUAGUCUUAUGUGAGCUUUGAGCUCUCUUCUCUGCCAUUAUAUGACAAUAAUGCUCAGACUUAUAACACUGCCAUAUUGUGUAAUUUGAGUAACAUGAACAUAUUUUGUAUGUGCAAAAUUUAAAACAUGGUGCCUAUAUUUGAAAGAUUUGUGACAUUUUUAAAAGAGCCAUGCCUAUUUCACUGAUGCUCAAGAGUCAGUUUUCAACUGUUACCAUGAUCACUGAAUUUGCUUCAAAGAGAUUCAAAUUUCAGACUAGAUUUAUUUACAAGUUUAUUUUUAGCGCUCCAUUGGUUACUUCUCAUGAUUAAUAAAAUAAAGGAUACAUCCAACAAUGAAAUAGUCACUGUCUGUUAGGAACUUUUGUAAAAGAAUGCCAUAAACAAAUUUGUCAGUGCUGAAUGUUUUUGGACAUUGCUUUUGAUUUAAAAAAAAAAAAAAAAGGAAGGAAAAAGUGGCAGAACUGGAGUUUCAUCAAAUGUGCAUGCACUUAGAAUGACAACAGGUGGUGGCAGAGUGGUUCUCGGUUCUGUGGACAGUGGGUUUUAGCAGGAUGACUCCAGUGGCUUAUUUUCUUACAUCUACUUUCAAGCUUUUUCUUUUACCCUCUGUAUUUCUCUUUUGAAAGUAUUUUUUGGGGGUAUUAUAGGUAGCUGUUUACAGUUCUGGCAUUGUAUCUAGUUGAUUUGAAGCAAAAAUACCCCAGGUUUCCUUUUUUUAGAUUCCUUCGAUACACAUGUAAUUUCAGAAGGGGUAUAUGCCUUUUUCACUGCAUUAGUACUCAGAAAAGAAAAAAAGUCAAAAUAUCCGACAGUUUACCCAGAAAAUAGUAGGUUCCAGUAAGAUAUACACAAGGAUACAUUUUUAUGCAUGAUAUUAAGUUGUUAGUAAUUCUUAGUGUUUUGAGAUCUGCUGCUAGUCUAUACAGAAAAGAGAAUUUAAUAAUUUUACAAACAGAUUUGCAGAUUUGAGGGUUAUAUAUGCGUGUGUAUAUAUAAAUGUACAAGAUAUUAAGAGAGUAUUGCCAAUUGAGAAUAAUAUUGUACAGGUUCUAGUGCUGUCAAAGUUGGAAUAGUGAAAGUAAAGAAAAGCUUUACUCUUCAGACUCUGAGAAAAUGCCGUAUGGGUAAACGUGGCUUUUAAAAGCUAAAAGUUAAGAAGAUAUUUAAUAUAUGUAUGAAGAGAUCAAGGACAGUUUUGACCCAAGAACAAACAGAUGCACUUGGUCAUGAAUAAUUUCUUCUGUAAAGUAGAAGGAAAUCCCUGGAGCUGUGAAGUUUAGCAGUAGUUUUCUAAUUGAAAUAGUGAUGAAUUAGGUGGAAUAUGAUUGGUAUAUGAUGGAAUUAACUAAUUAGUUCUCUGUGGCAUUAUUUGCAGGGCAGAUCCUGUAGAUCCCUUGCAGUUAUGUGUUCCUCAAGUGAAAAGCUAUUGUCUCUUGAAAAAGAACAACAAAAUCAAAACUGCUGUGGAGAAAAAAGAUAAGUUACCUGCUACUAGUAUUAAAUAGAGAUCUCGGUAAAAAAUAGAAUAGAUAUCAAAUAUUUUUAAUGAAUAAUUGAAGAGUAAGGGCAAAUGAAUAAAAGAGUGGGCAAGAAAUGCUGAAAUUGAGUAAUAUUUGUGACUAAAGCUGACUCGAGUUAAUUAGCAUUUCUGUAUUUUUUAAGAGAACUGAGGAAGCUGUUUGGUGUUAGAUUAUCAUCUAAAUGGUUUUGACAAAUUUUCCACCAGUGUAAGCCAAACUUGUGAUAUUUUGGAGGCACAAAGGAAAGCUAGUACACAACUUUUCGUUAAAUUUCUAUGGUCCAUGUAAAGCUAUUAUUACUAAUAUUUUUCAACUUGAAAAUAUUCAAAGUCAAAAAUAUUUCUUCCUCAAUGGUUAAAUCAAUGCAUUUUGUUUUGGGGAAAUGUAAUUUUUAACUAUUUCCACACAAGUAUUACAUUAUCUAUUUGAUAUUUCAGAUUUUGAAAAUGUUUUAUUUUUGAAGCUCUUUAUUUACACCUUCAGACAUCAUAGUUCCAAGCUUGUUUUUUGAGUGACACUGAAAUAGUAUAAAUGAAUUAACAUACGAGAAAAUCCUCUGUAAUCAGGUAAGUUGAUAGAAAAUAUCACUGAAAAGGAGAAAUAACAGAAUACUUAAGAUGAACACAAAGGCAGGAAUGUAUCUUCUGGUGUAGUAACCAUAGAACUGAAAAUACUGAUGCUGUGGAGUAAAUAUCCAUAUAAUUUGGCUCUUGCUUAACUAACUAUAAAGCUGACAAAAUAUUGGCAAGGUGCUUGUGUGUUCUUACAUAUUCCAAGUACCUAAUAAAUAAUUCUUAUUGUCUUUGGUGAAAAUGAUGGUCAAAUCAUAUGAAAUUACAGAAUUAUUGUUAAUAAUUAAGACGUUUUAAUGUAAAUGCUCUGACCUUAUUCCAUUGGAUCGUAUGAUUCUCUAUUGCUUACAGCGCAGUGCUUCUCAGAGGAAGCAUCAUAGCAGUAGGCUGUUUGCUGGAUGUAUCUGUGUCUAGAGAUGUUUUCCUAAAGACUAUGAGUCAGUUAUGUCUUAGAGUCCUGGGACCUUGGGAUGUUAAAAGUGAUUCUCAGUUACAGGGAAAUCAAGAUAGUAUGGACAAGAGGGAUCUAUGGUUAAAUGAAAAUGAGACCUCCACAUUUUUAUUGUAGCUAACCAAAAAAUGAAAUAACAGGAAUAAAAAAUUGUCUUACAUACCUGAAAGAAUGCUGAGUUUUUGGGAGUUUUAAACUCAUUAAAGUACUAUCCAGAAUGCUUGCAA